AGUAAUGAAGGGUAAAAAUGUAAUCAGCUAACAUUUCGAAUUAAAAAUAAUUCAAAAAGAAAAUAAUAUUUAGGAAGGUCAUUGAGAGAUUAGACUUCAGAAAAUAGGGAUAAGAGAGGCGUGGUCUCAAUUUCCUUUGGUGUUGUAUUACCAGAUUGAUGUUAAAUUAUUUAGAGUAUUUAGGUCUCAUAUACCUACAAUAAACUAUAAUUAAGAGAAUACCCUUUCAGGGUAGUUGACACUGUUGACAAUGAUGUCAACCCGGGUCUGAUUUGUCAAUUUUUUCUUGUUCUAUGGGAGAUGGAGAUCGAAGAGGGGAAGUUGAGAACUGUGAGGCAUACGUAGCAAGUCUCAAAGCUUCAUGUGUGAGUAUAGAUAACCCUUGUUUCUCUCUUUAUCAUCAAAUCUAACUAUAUCCAAGAGAGUGAGAGACUAAUUAGCGAAUGAUAAUAUGAUCUAUUUUGUCAAAAAACACCACUAGCAUCCUGGUGGUGUCUUUGUUCAUCCAUAUGGUGCUGAAAAAUCUCUCAGAGACACCAUUGAUGAGCUUGGGAAGAACCAUGGAGACAAAAAGGACAAGAAGUUUCCGAUUUGGACUGAUCAGGUUCUGGCAACAGAGGCUACUCCUAGGACUUGGAUAGUAAAGCUUAAUAAAUGGGAACAAACUGGUAACUAAAAGUAUUAGUAUGCUACAUAAAAGUGAACUAUUACCUUCCAUAAUUGUGGAUAUAUAUCCAAGGGAAUUAAAGGAAAUGCUGCACAACAACUGUCAAAUUCACCUCAAAGGAAAAAUUAAGGAUUGUGUGAGAAAAUGAGCAGCAAACAUGGUCGGAGGAAUCAAGAUGAAAGAUGAUAGCAACCGGAUCCUCUAAUGAUUAUCCUCCUUUUAUUUUUAUUUUGUUUCAUAAGACACUGCAAACACACACAAAAAUCAUAUUAUUUGGUUGAGUAAAACUUAAAUCUCAGAA